AGCCGAUAAAGGUAAACCCGGGGAAAUCCGGGGACACAAAACUACAGGCCUAAAUUGUCUAAUACCUAAGAGGCCCUGAAGUAACAUUCCGGGCAUUUUAAGACCGUGGCUGGUUGAGGACAACAUGGCGGCUGAGUUGCCGAA
rnacentral:ncRNA from 1 species